rnacentral:rRNA from 1 species
AGAGUUUGAUCCUGGCUCAGGACGAACGCUGGCGGCGUGCUUAACACAUGCAAGUCGAACGAUGAAGCCUUUCGGGGUGGAUUAGUGGCGAACGGGUGAGUAACACGUGGGCAAUCUGCCCUUCACUCUGGGACAAGCCCUGGAAACGGGGUCUAAUACCGGAUAAUACUUUCUCUCUCAUGGGGGAAGGUUAAAAGCUCCGGCGGUGAAGGAUGAGCCCGCGGCCUAUCAGCUAGUUGGUGGGGUAAUGGCCUACCAAGGCGACGACGGGUAGCCGGCCUGAGAGGGCGACCGGCCACACUGGGACUGAGACACGGCCCAGACUCCUACGGGAGGCAGCAGUGGGGAAUAUUGCACAAUGGGCGAAAGCCUGAUGCAGCGACGCCGCGUGAGGGAUGACGGCCUUCGGGUUGUAAACCUCUUUCAGCAGGGA